rnacentral:rRNA from 1 species
GAGUUUGAUCGUGGCUCAGAUUGAACGCUGGCGGCAUGCCUUACACAUGCAAGUCGAACGGCAGCACGGGAGCUUGCUCCUGGUGGCGAGUGGCGAACGGGUGAGUAAUGCAUCGGAACGUAUCCUGGAGUGGGGGAUAACGUAGCGAAAGUUACGCUAAUACCGCAUAUUCUGUGAGCAGGAAAGCGGGGGACCUUCGGGCCUCGCGCUCUUGGAGCGGCCGAUGUCGGAUUAGCUAGUUGGUGAGGUAAAGGCUCACCAAGGCGACGAUCCGUAGCAGGUCUGAGAGGAUGAUCUGCCACACUGGAACUGAGACACGGUCCAGACUCCUACGGGAGGCAGCAGUGGGGAAUUUUGGACAAUGGGGGCAACCCUGAUCCAGCCAUGCCGCGUGAGUAAAGAAGGCCUCGGUUGUAAG